CCUACGGGAGACAGCAGUGAGGAAUAUUGGUCAAUGGGCGCGAGCCUGAACCAGCCAAGUAGCGUGAAGGAUGACUGCCCUACGGGUUGUAAACUUCUUUUAUAAAGGAAUAAAGUGAGGCACGUGUGCCUUUUUGUAUGUACUUUAUGAAUAAGGAUCGGCUAACUCCGUGCCAGCAGCCGCGGUAAUACGGAGGAUCCGAGCGUUGUCCGGAUUUGUUGGGUUUAAAGGGAGCGUAGAUGGGUUUUUAAGUCAGUUGUGAAAGUUUGCGGGUCAACCGUAAAAUUGCAAUUGAUACUUGCAGACUUGAGUAAAGUAGAGGUAGGCGGAAUUCGAGGUGAAGCGGUGAAAUGCUUAGAUAUAACGAAGAACUCCGAUUGCGAAGGCAGCCUACUAAACUGACACUGACACUGAUGCUCGAAAGUGUGGGUAUCAAACAGGAUUAGAUACCCUAGUAGUC
rnacentral:rRNA from 1 species